UGCUUGAGGAGGCCGUGUAAGUCAUAGCUGGUGGGGGUUGUGUUGGCUCAUUCUCCCCUUUCCCAGCGAGGCAACCUGCGCCCUUCAGCCCCCCAUUCCUGCGUGGCAUCUGCCUCGUGCUACUCAGCGCUUCAUAGGGACCCCCAAUGGGGCAGUGCCCCCCUCACUGCUGUAGGGCCUCCCACCUGCCCACUUUCCUCUGGGACUGGUCCCCUAUCUUCCCUCCCUGCCCCAGCACAGGUCUUCUCCACCCCACCUCACCUCGGGUGACCAGAUGUCCUGCUUUUAUAGGGACAAUCCCAAUAUUUGGGUUUUUUCUUCUAUUACCCCUCACCGCCUCUCCUGGUUUUUCACACUUGCUGUCUGGUUACCCUAAUCCCCCACCACCCACCCACACAAUUAAGGUUUGUGUUCACUAACAGAAAGUGCAUUGUUUACUCCAGGCUACCUGCGGCGGAGUAGCGAGCCUGCUGUAACUCCUCGUAGAAAUGAGGUGUUAUGGUCUUUAUGACAAGGUAGCUAGAGGAGUUGAACCACAGGCCAGGGUAUAGUGCUGAACGUGUCUAGCUCCGUGGGAAAAACAACAAAAUCCACUACAAUUUUCCAGCUGGGAAAAUCAUCUUUUUGUGGUGAAGACAAAGCCUGAGUGGGACAGGGUUCUUCCUCCUGCACCCGUAUUUGCUCUUUUGCCUAUCAGCCAUUAAAGCAAUGUCACUCCACUCCCCCUCUGCUGUAUGUCAGGAACUUAUUUAUUAAUUUAGUAUUUGCAUAUUUGCCAGGCAAUAGCAUUUUUAGUGGCCAAGUGGAGCUCAUUGCUGAAUUUGGUUAGCAAGCACUCCUUGACAAUGUAUAUUAGUGUUCGAUCUGCACCACAGCUUGGAUUGUCUCGAAGACCUCAACGGUGCUGGUUGGCUGCACAAAGGCCUUGCCCAGUCCGGAAUCAGUUAAGAAAGACCCACUGACGACAUGGUAUGUCAAAGCCAGACGGGUGAGCAGUAGCGCCUGUGACAAGGUACUGAUUGGUGGUUGAUGCUAAGCAGCAGUCUUCCCGCCACAGGGACUCCACUGUCACCUCCUGUCAUGGCAGCCUCAAGCACACAUGUCAUACAUCCAGACUGGAGGUACUAUUCAGCUGAAUCAGCUAACAUUUCUACAGCACUUUAAUAAUGUGAAGCAGCGAGUUCUCUGAGGAGAGGGGAAGAAAAAAAAAUCUUUAUGCCAAAGGAAGAUUUAAAUCUUCAAAUUACUUUCUUCAUCCUAAGCAGGAAAAAAACCCAUUACGGUAACUAAAUCACAUUGCAGUCGAUUAUGAUCCCACAGAUGGCAUGUACUGCAACAGGGCCAUAAUGGCAAAGAGAAAUGAGGUAUGCAGUCCAGCCCACUCUUAAUAACAUGUCUGAAGGGGGAUAGGACAUGUUUGUUACUAGAUCGAUUGUGCAAAUUUAGCUUGUUUCUUCUUUCUACUCCAUUUGGUAGCAUUCUCGGGGAAAACAUAUAGUCUGUACAUGUUAAUA